rnacentral:rRNA from 1 species
GAUGAACGCUGGCGGCGUGCCUAAUACAUGCAAGUCGAGCGAACAGACGAGGAGCUUGCUCCUCUGACGUUAGCGGCGGACGGGUGAGUAACACGUGGAUAACCUACCUAUAAGACUGGGAUAACUUCGGGAAACCGGAGCUAAUACCGGAUAAUAUAUUGAACCGCAUGGUUCAAUAGUGAAAGACGGUUUGCUGUCACUUAUAGGUGGAUCCGCGCCCCCUUAGCUAGUUGGUAAGGUAAAGGCUUACCAAGGCAAAGAUGCGUAGCCGACCUGAGGGGGUGACCGGCCAAACUGGAACUAGAACACGGGCCAGACUCCUACGGGGGGGAGGAGGAGGGAAACUUCCGCAAUGGGCGAAAGCCUGACGGAGCAACGCCGCGUGAGUGAUGAAGGUCUUCGGAUCUUAAAACUCUGUUAUUAGGGAAGAACAAAUGUGUAAGUAACUAUGCACGUCUUGACGGUACCUAAUCAGAAAGCCACGGCUAACUACGUG